CGUACAUUGUCCUCAGAUCAGAAUUCCUCAGACUCGAUAGCUAUGAUAAGAGAAAACCUCGGAAAUACAAGAAUUCUUUUUAUCUGAAACGAAGCCAAGCAAAGCAACAUCACCUUCUGGAAAGUGCAGAAACUGCAAUCAAGAUCAACAAAGAAAAGCACCCUUCCCAUAGAUUCAUCUCUUUGGCGUUUAAGUGUUUGGGCGAGUCUACAAAACUCAGAUUCCUCAUUUAACUAGAUGUUCCAGGUCACAGAGAUAUUCUACUAAGGCAAUUUUCAAAAGACCAUAAAACCACCACAUCAAUUUAUGCUUGCAGGCUAUAGUGCAGUAAUAUCAUCAUGGCUCACUGCAAUCUCGACUUCUCCAGCUCAAACAAUCCUCCCACCUCAGCCUCCCAAGCAGUUGGGACUACAGGCACGUGUCAUUACACCCAGUUACAGAAAGCUUUUCAUGGUUCACUGACUGAGGACAAUCAACCCCUUCAUAAUCCAUAACCCAAAGAUUGAACUGUCUGAGAACACCAGAGAAAGACUGCUCCUGCCAUCCACAUUGCAGCAAACCUUCAGGACCUUGAACCUUGGGUUCAUAGUCUUACAACUCAGAAGCAUCCCUCCACACUCUCAAAACUGGACAUCCUUGGGAACCCUUAAGGUAAAGCUAACCAGGGAAGAUUUUCUGCCCAGAAGAUGGCAUCCUUUUCCCCAAGAUCACAGAAGCUUUUUCCCAAGAUCACAGAUCAAGACUUCUCUAGUACCAUGAGACUCUUAUCUUUGAAUUUUUCCCCUUGCUAUGCCUCUAUAAACAAUAGAAGUAAAAAUGGAAUCUGUUGUGUGCACUCAUGGGGUAUACUUUUAUUUGUGAAGGAUGCUGCAGCCAUGCAGACUUAUACAUGGAUAACAGAUAUGGUUUGGCUCUGUGUCCCCACCCAAAACUCAUGUUGAAUUGUAAUCCCCAGUGUUUGUGAGGACUGGUGGGAGGUGAUUGGAUCAUGGUUGUGGUUUCUAAUGGUUUAACGUGAUCCCUUUAGUACUGUCUUGUGAUAGAGUUCUCAUGAGGUCUGGUUGUUUAAAAGUGUGUGGAACCUUCCUGUUCACUCUUUCUCCUGCUCUGACAAGUGAAGAUGUGACUGCUUUUCCUUCAACUUCUGCCAUGAUUGUAAAUUUCCUGAGGCCUCUUCAGCCAUGCUUCCUGUACAACCUGCAGAACUGUGAGUCAAUUAAACCACUUUUUUUUUAUAAA
rnacentral:lncRNA from 1 species